GAGAAGAAGAAAAUGCGAUGAAAACAAAACGACGCUCUCAAAUCAUCAUCACUAGCACUCAAAACUAAUUUCUGCCUUGCUGAGAGACGGUUUUGCUUAUAUUGGGAAUAUCUUUACAGUUGUACCCACUUAGACCAACUAGAUAGCGUGCUGUGUUUAACGCCAAGAGUUGCAGCUACCGACAUAUCAUAACAGAAUAUUAGCUAGCAACUAACUAGCAUUAGCUGACAGCGCCAACUAGCUUAGCUUCAACAAUAAAUUCUGACGUAGCGUGAGUUUUCGAGCUGUUUUGCGGCAACUUUUCUUAGUCCUAUAAAGCCUAAACAUGUCGGAAGAUUGUGAAUUCGCCGAUGACACGACCAUGAUGAGAAUGGAAGAGGACGGGGAGGCUAACAGUGACGAUCCAAUGUCUGCCACUGGGGACUGUGGCCUGAUGGGGGGCGAGGCCGAGGGCUCAAGGAUUGACGCCAGUAAAAACGAAGAGGAUGAGGGGAAGAUGUUUAUAGGAGGGCUCAGCUGGGACACGACUAAGAAGGAUCUGAAAGAUUACUUUUCCAAGUAUGGGGAGGUUGUAGACUGCACAUUAAAACUGGACCCAAUGACUGGCCGCUCAAGGGGUUUUGGCUUUGUGCUCUUCAAAGAUCCUGACAGUGUUGAGAAGGUUGCCUCACAGAAGGAACAUAAACUCAACGGAAAGGUCAUCGAUCCCAAAAAAGCCAAGGCCAUGAAGAGCAAGGAGCCCGUAAAGAAGAUCUUUGUUGGUGGUCUCUCUCCAGACACUCCUGAAGAGAAAGUCAGAGAGUACUUUGGUGCCUUUGGGGAGGUGGAGUCAAUUGAGCUUCCCAUGGAGAACAAAACAAACAAAAGGAGAGGCUUCUGCUUCAUCACAUUCAAAGAGGAGGAGCCAGUUAAGAGCAUCAUGGAGAAAAAGUACCACAAUAUUGGACUAAGCAAGUGUGAAAUAAAAGUGGCCAUGUCCAAGGAGCAGUACCAGCAGCAGCAGUACUGGGGAGGCAGAGGAGGAUACUCAUCCAGGUCUCGAGGAAGAGGUGGAGGUCCCAAUCAAAAUUGGAACCAGGGUUAUGGCAACUACUGGAAUCAAGGCUAUGGGAAUUAUGGCAAUUACGGUUACAAUAAUCAAGGAUAUGGAGGAUAUGGUGGCUAUGAUUACCCUGGUUACAACAACUAUUAUGGAUAUGGUGACUACAACGAUCAGUCUGGUGGAUAUGGCAAGUCACCACGGCGUGGUGGUCACACCAACAGUUACAAGCCGUAUUAAUGGGGGAAACCCUCAUCUUCAAGUAGCGGAGCUUCCUUGCAGGCCAUGAGCUGACUCCCAGAUACUCUCAGGGCCCGCUCAAUGCGGACCGGGUACGAGAAGCAUACGCUCUCGAAUGCUGCCAUUUGGUUUCAGAGUGAUGAAAGGCAGCUGUGGGCUGGUGGAUCAUUGGCCAGAGAGAUGAUGGUGUCCAGCAAAGAUCACUAGCUGAUUGUACAAAAAAAAUCUAAAAAUAAAAAAUAAACUGAGCGAAGAGCACUAUGACCUACA